rnacentral:rRNA from 1 species
UACGUAGGGUGCGAGCGUUGUCCGGAAUUAUUGGGCGUAAAGGGCUCGUAGGCGGUUUGUCGCGUCUGCUGUGAAAACCUAAGGCUCAACCUUGGGCUUGCAGUGGGUACGGGCAGACUAGAGUGCGGUAGGGGUGACUGGAAUUCCUGGUGUAGCGGUGGAAUGCGCAGAUAUCAGGAGGAACACCGAUGGCGAAGGCAGGUCACUGGGCCGCAACUGACGCUGAGGAGCGAAAGCAUGGGGAGCGAACGGG